CUAAUUCCUGCUCUGCCACAUGUCUGCUGUGUGACCUUGGCCAACAGACUGUAAACUCCUUAAGAGGAAGUAUUGUGUCUUUUACUUCAGUUGUAUGGGAUCCAGAGCACCAAAGGCAGAACAGAAACAACUGGAAAUGCAGCUGUAAAAUUGGAAUGGAGAAGAGGUGUGGCCUAGUGGAUAGAGCAUGGGCCUGGGAGUCAGAAGGA